rnacentral:rRNA from 1 species
GAUGAACGCUGGCGGCGUGCCUAAUACAUGCAAGUCGAGCGAACAGAUAAGGAGCUUGCUCCUUUGACGUUAGCGGCGGACGGGUGAGUAACACGUGGAUAACCUACCUAUAAGACUGGGAUAACUUCGGGAAACCGGAGCUAAUACCGGAUAACAUAUUGAACCGCAUGGUUCAAUAGUGAAAGGCGGCUUUGCUGUCACUUAUAGAUGGAUCCGCGCCGUAUUAGCUAGUUGGUAAGGUAACGGCUUACCAAGGCAACGAUACGUAGCCGACCUGAGAGGGUGAUCGGCCACACUGGAACUGAGACACGGUCCAGACUCCUACGGGAGGCAGCAGUAGGGAAUCUUCCGCAAUGGGCGAAAGCCUGACGGAGCAACGCCGCGUGAGUGAUGAAGGUCUUCGGAUCGUAAAACUCUGUUAUCAGGGAAGAACAAAUGUGUAAGUAACUAUGCACGUCUUGACGGUACCUGAUCAGAAAGCCACGGCUAACUACGUG